UCUGGCAGAAACUUAGCAGGCAACAACCUCGGUCCGUGCGAAGACGGUGCUGGGACGAUUAAGCGCGGGGAACUCUGGCCAAGCCAAGCCGGGACAUCGCCGUCGUCGAAGACGGCGUCUUCUCUACUCUUUGGAAUUGCGUCACUCCUGCGAGAGUUUGGCCCCGCCUAUUCGCUUUUCGUGAAGCGUCCAGCAAGAGUCAUGCGGAGGCACCCGAACAGAGACAAGGCCUGAGUGACAAAGUUUAAGGCAA
rnacentral:lncRNA from 1 species